UGGGGAAUAUUGGACAAUGGGGGCAACCCUGAUCCAGCAAUGCCGCGUGUGUGAAGAAGGUCUUCGGAUUGUAAAGCACUUUCGACGGGGACGAUGAUGACGGUACCCGUAGAAGAAGCCCCGGCUAACUUCGUGCCAGCAGCCGCGGUAAUACGAAGGGGGCUAGCGUUGCUCGGAAUGACUGGGCGUAAAGGGCGUGUAGGCGGUUUACACAGUCAGAUGUGAAAUCCCCGGGCUUAACCUGGGAGCUGCAUUUGAUACGUGUAGACUAGAGUGUG
rnacentral:rRNA from 1 species